rnacentral:rRNA from 1 species
AUAACGCUGGCGGCGUGCCUAAUACAUGCAAGUCGAGCGAAUGGAUUAAGAGCUUGCUCUUAUGAAGUUAGCGGCGGACGGGUGAGUAACACGUGGGUAACCUGCCCAUAAGACUGGGAUAACUCCGGGAAACCGGGGCUAAUACCGGAUAACAUUUUGAACCGCAUGGUUCGAAAUUGAAAGGCGGCUUCGGCUGUCACUUAUGGAUGGACCCGCGUCGCAUUAGCUAGUUGGUGAGGUAACGGCUCACCAAGGCAACGAUGCGUAGCCGACCUGAGAGGGUGAUCGGCCACACUGGGACUGAGACACGGCCCAGACUCCUACGGGAGGCAGCAGUAGGGAAUCUUCCGCAAUGGACGAAAGUCUGACGGAGCAACGCCGCGUGAGUGAUGAAGGCUUUCGGGUCGUAAAACUCUGUUGU